UCCCUGGUGGCUCUGAUUGGUAAAGAAUCUGCCUGCAAUGCAGGGAGACCCUGGUUCAAUCCCUGGGUUGGGAA
rnacentral:tRNA from 1 species